rnacentral:rRNA from 1 species
UACGUAGGGACCAAGCGUUGUUCGGAUUUACUGGGCGUAAAGGGCGCGUAGGCGGCGUGUUAAGUCAGCUGUGAAAUCUCCAAGCUUAACUUGGAACGGUCAGCUGAUACUGAUGUGCUAGAGUGCAGAAGGGGCAAUCGGAAUUCUUGGUGUAGCGGUGAAAUGCGUAGAUAUCAAGAGGAACACCUGAGGUGAAGACGGGUUGCUGGGCUGAAACUGACGCUGAGGCGCGAAAGCUAGGGUAGCAAACGGG